CCCCGGAUAGCUCAGUUAGUAGAGCGCCCGCUUCGUAAGUGGGAGGUCGUAGGUGCGAAUCCUACUCUGGUAA
rnacentral:tRNA from 2 species